AGGACUUCCCACUGGCUUGUGAGGGAGCGCAUUCCUUGGCUGGAAAAUGAGAGGCAAAGAGGACCAUCACAAGUAGAAUUAUUUCUGGUCAAAGUUUUCCUUCUAGGCCCCUCUGCUGUAGGACUGCUGGAGGUCCACUCCAGACCCUGCUUGCCUGGGGCUCACCUGCAGUGGCUGAAGAACAGUGACAGUUGCUGCCAGUUUCUUCUUCUGCUAUGUUUGUCCCAGAAGGAUACCUGCCAGAUGUCAGUCUGAGCUCUCCUUUAUGAGGUGAUUAUUUGGAUAUAUGGGGGUCGGGGAACUGCUUGAGGAGACAUUCUGUCCUUUAUAGGAGCUCAAGUGCUGAGGUGUGAGCCUUGUUUUUCCAUUCAGAGCUGCUGGGCAGGUACGUUUAAGUCUGCUGCAGUGGAACUCAUAACAGCCUUCUUUUUUCCUAGGUGCUGUGUUCCCAGAAGGUAGGGCUUUAAGUUUCUGUCAUGCUGCUGCCUUUUUUCAGGGAUGCCCUCCCCAGCGAGGAGGUAGCCUAGUCACAGUCUGCCAGAAGAGGUGUUGCUGAGCUGCUGUGGGCUCCGCCCAGCUGCUGUGUGAACUUCCCUGCAGUCCUGUUUAUAGGGGUAUAGUUAGUACUGCCUUGGCAAUGUCAGCUCACCUCUGUAACAGUGGACUCUCUCUGUAAUGGCAGACUGCCUUGGU
rnacentral:lncRNA from 1 species